rnacentral:tRNA from 1 species
AGCAGGAUGAUUGCUCCGCCUGAAAAGCGGAAGGUCGGCAGUUCGACCCUGCCCCUGACCA